rnacentral:rRNA from 1 species
UACGUAGGGUGCAAGCGUUGUCCGGAAUUAUUGGGCGUAAAGAGCUCGUAGGCGGUCUGUCACGUCGGAUGUGAAAAUCCAGGGCUUAACCCUGGACCUGCAUUCGAUACGGGCAGACUAGAGUUCGGUAGGGGAGACUGGAAUUCCUGGUGUAGCGGUGAAAUGCGCAGAUAUCAGGAGGAACACCGGUGGCGAAGGCGGGUCUCUGGGCCGAUACUGACGCUGAGGCGCGAAAGCUAGGGGAGCAAACGGG